AAGGGUUCCUGUCCAACGUUAAUCGGGGCAGGGUGAGUCGACCCCUAAGGCGAGGCCGAAAGGCGUAGUCGAUGGGAAACAGGUUAAUAUUCCUGUACUUGGUGUUACUGCGAAGGGGGACGGAGAAGGCUAUGUUAGCCGGGCGACGGUUGUCCCGGUUUAAGCAUGUAGGCUGGUUGUCCAGGCAAAUCCGGAUAAUCAAGGCUGAGGUGUGAUGACGAGGCACUACGGUGCUGAAGUAACAAAUGCCCUGCUUCCAGGAAAAGCCUCUAAGCAUCAGGUAACAUCAAAUCGUACCCCAAACCGACACAGGUGGUCAGGUAGAGAAUACCAAG
rnacentral:rRNA from 1 species